GGACGCUUCUACAACAACGUCGAGUUAUUCACCUCCGUAGCUUUUAGCCAACAUAAGCGAAAACAUUCAAGCUCUUUAAACGCUUUCGGUGUAUAUUAGCCACGGUGUUUUAAACACACUUGUCGUAUCUACUAGUUAGUUACCCAAUUUAAUAUAAUAUUUACGUUGUUGUUAGCUAACUGGCUGAGUAAAUUAGUAGUAGUGCUAGUCUAGUCACUAAUGCUAACUAGCUAUCUAGCUAACAUCCCAACCAUGAGCUCACUAAACGAGUCCCCCACUUCUAAAGAGGGGGUCUGUUGGACGGAGAAAGAAACUCUGGGGCUGAACAUUGUCGUGAAAGAGGAGAAGGAAGAAGAGGAUGUCACAGUAAAAGUAGAGGGUGAGGCUGUUACAGUGAAAGAAGAAGAGAAAGACGUUACAGUGAAAGAAGAGGAAGACUCGUUCAGAGUGAAAGAGGAGGAGGAAGUCACAGUAAAAGAAGAGGAGGAAGAGAAAGAGGAGAUGACUGUCACAGUGAAAGAAGAGGAAGACGUUUUUGGAAUGAAGGAAGUGGGGAAAUUACUGUCACAUUGGAAGAAGAGAAGAGAAAGGAGAUCUGAUUAACAGAGAGAGACCAGACUCUCACUUUGACAGCGAAAAGAGCCCUUCAUUGGAACCAGACCCAGAGACGCCCAAACCAGCGAAACAACAUCACUGCUCUCAGUGUGGAAAGAGUUUUACCCAUUUAGGGUAUCUGAAAUCACAUGAGAGGAGGCACCCAGGAGAAAAGCCUUUUCACUGCUCCCAGUGUGGAAAGAGAUUCUCCAUGUCAAGUAACCUGAAAAAACACGAGAGAACACACUCAGUAGAGAAGCCUUUCCACUGUUCCCAGUGUGAAAAGAGCUUUACACAGUUAGGGCAACUGGAAAAACAUAAAAGAAUACACACUGGAGAGAAGCCCUACCUCUGCUCCCACUGUGGUAAGAGUUUUACCCAAUCAGGUACCUUGAAAUCACACGAGAGAACACACUCUGUAGAGAAGCCUUUCCAAUGCUCUCAGUGUGGAAAGGCGUUUGCCCAAUCAGGUACUCUGAAAUCACAUGAGAGAACACACACUGUAGAAAAGCCUUUCAAAUGCGCUCAGUGUGGAAAGGGUUUUACCCAGAUGGGGAGCCUGAAAAAGCACGACAGAACACACACAGGGGAGAAGCCUUUCCAAUGCUCUCAGUGUGGAAAAGGUUUUACCCAGAUAGGGAGUCUGAAAGGUCAUGAAAGAACACAACACAUACAGGGAAGAAGCCUUAUCACUUCCCCCAGUGUGAAAAUUAUUGUAAUUUAUCCGGCUAGGGCACCUGAAAGAACAUAAUAUAACACACACACGGGAGAAGCCUUUCCAAUGCACCCAGUGUGGGAAGGGUUUUACCCAGAGAAGCUUGCUGAAAAGCCAUGAAAGAACACAAACAGGGGAGUAGAGACGGGGAAGCCAAGCGUUUAGAUUUUCCAGACAAUUGUGUCAAAAAUAGGUACAUGACUCAAUGCUUUGAUCAACACAGUGUACACUAUUGCCACCUGCUGGUCUGAAAUAAUUUAGAGCAGGCAUAUUAUUGUAGAGGACGUCCCACGCCCCAUAGCGUGCCCAGCGUUUUUGUCUUCUACCAAACCAAUCAGGUGGAAACUAAGCUUGCGAUGUGUUUUUGUUUGUCACAUAAAAUCAAAUUAGUACAAAGCAGGACUCAAAUAUAAAUGUUUUAUUUAAAAAAACAUGAGCUGAAUAUGGAGUCAGUUUCCAUGUCUACACACGGUUAUUAAAUGGUCAUUUUAUA